AGAGGAGAUGAUAUAAGAGACUCACGUCCACGGCCGCGCCCCUCGAACUUUCGCUUUCCCUCUUCUCCAGGAAGAGCGCACCGACAAAGGGGACAAAGGAUGACUGCUGCCGGAGACGGAACCGGGGGUAGGGUGAACGGGCGGGCGGCGACGAUCUCGUCGGGGUCGAGGAAAUUAGUGCAGAGUCUUAAGGAAAUCGUCAACUGCUCCGAACCGGAGAUCUAUGCCAUGUUGCGCGAGUGCAAUAUGGACCCUAAUGAGGCCGUCCAAUGCCUCCUAUCCCAAGAUACUUUUCAGGAGGUCAAAAGCAAGCGUGACAAGAAAAAGGAGGUCAGAGAGUUUCCAAAUCUAGAUCUCAAACAGUCAACACCAAUUCAGGUCGUGGAUCUAAGGGUAGUAGUGAUCAUAGGGGCCAUCAUCAGUCCAGUUUGACUGAAUAUGAAGUUGAUAAAAGUAAACAUAUGCACAAGAAACAAAAUGAUAUUACUGUUGCUCCUGUCUCAUCAGUUGUGGAAUCGGCAACAAUAAUAAAUCCUACAAAAAGACCAACUGUCGAGAGGUGAUUUCUUCCUUAAUAUUCAGGAAUAAAUUUAGCACGUUUCAUAACAAGGCAAAAAUUUCCACUCAUUUAACCAAGAUCAGGGUCUGAAUCUCUUUUUUUAUUAUUAUUCAAAAAAUAUUCUAGUUUUCCUUUUUUGAUGACAUUGGAGUAAAUUGAUCCUAUUAUUUCUAGAGUAUGUUGUUAUUUUUUCCUUUUAAAAAAAAAUUAGAAGACACUUGCUUAGCUUGGUUGCUGUUAAAGAUGAUUCUCUUCCCUGAUUUGUUUUUCUCACAUCUUUUAAUCCAUCAUUUUUUUUUCUGGUUACACACAGCAUUUUGGAAGAACUGUAAUGACAUUGGUGUCAAAUUCUUGUUCUGUUGUUUUAUUAUAUUUUCUCUGCUGACACACAAGUGAGCAUAAUUUUACUAAGCUAACCUGCCACAAUUCUGUUAAAUUAGUGUCAUAUAUUUGUUACCAUACAGAUUAGUUAACUAAUAUUUUGGUCUAAAAUUAUAUCAAUAUUAUCAUAUUAUAUGAUAUACACAAUAAAUUCAGAUAUGGUGUGGAAUUUUUGGUGGUUUUAUAUAAAAACUUCAAACCCACCCAGUGGAACCCGAUUUCUAAAUACAUGAACCUGAAAAAACAUGAUUUUUCAAAGCGGUUUAGUUUAGCUGAUUUGUAUUAUCUAAUAGGUUCCUAAUUUAGACCAACUUUGCAAAUAAAUUGUGAGGCAUGCUCAUCUUUCUUGAGCUGGAAAUUUUAAACCAAUCAUAACUUUUGAAAUACGUUGGAUUACUUCUUGAUGAUGGCUUCAGUUCCACCUGGAGGCAAAUAUGUCUCAGCUUCUCAGGACUUACUGGACUGCUAGCUUUUCAUCUAUAUGUGGAUUUUGGACAGUUUGAGUGGGUAAUUUAUUGCAUCCAAUCUAUUUAUCAGAGUCCCACAAUAGCUAUUAGGUAUAGUCUGUUAAUGAUAGCCAAGUGAUUUUACUGUAGAAGUGUACACUGGAGAAUCUGAUUUCCUGGAUCUCAUUCUUGCCCUAAUGUUACUGAAGCAAAGAUUUGGCUUUUUGGGGCUUCAGUGAUCUUACUGGCUGCUUUAUUUUCUUGCAGCAGUUUUGCUCCCAUUAAAGAUACAAUGCAUAAAACAAAAAUUGCUGAUGCAAUUUCUACACCUUUGCAAUGUUCAUCUAGUUUUCAAAACAGUUAGUUAGGGAAUCCAGGACAUGUUUCUAUGGCUGAUAUUGUCCAGACGGGCAGACCUGAAGGGAAACAAAGUACUGUGCCUGCUGUUGCAAGUGUAAAUUCCUACAGGUCACACAGUGCGGUAAUAACAAACAUGUCAAACCACGAUGCAAAACAAUCCUUUGCUACAUCUCUAACAUCAGAAUCAGAAGAAAAGGUAGACACUCCUUUGAAGAAUUUAAUCAUUUUUCAGAUAAAAGCCAUGGCAUUGGAACUGCUGAACAUCAUCACAUUUCCAAUUAUGGGUGGUUCCUAGUCCAAGAGCAACCUGCAGAAAGUGUGUUAACCACUAUGGAGAUAACUUCACCAGCUUAUACUAACCCAUCAGAACUGGCAGCACCUAAUUUGAUGGUUGUUUGUUUGGACUUGCAAAUAGAUCCUUGUUCAAAAGAUAUCCAAGACCAUGAUGGAAGAGCAAGUGUUAAACCUCAGGCAAUAGAAUCCAGACCCAUAUCUGCAUCAGAAAGGCAGUUAGAUGUUGAAACGUCUGAAGAUGCUUCCUAUUUCGAUGACAGAUUAUUGAGCGGAGUAUAAUGGCGGUGAAAGAUGAAGAACUCAAUUCAUUGGGACCAAAAAAUUGGUCUGCAGCUACAAACUUUACUGAGGUAGAAAUUUUGAAUUUUGUAUCUGCUCAAGUCAUUUUACACAUGCUUCUAUAUAAUCAUUUCAUAUGGUCUUUAGAUUCAAGAUCCAAUUAAAAAUGUUUAUCUCUUUACUAUCUUUAUUAUGAUAUUUCCUGAUUUUAUUUAUUUAUUUAUCUAGAUACCGUGCAUCAAAAUUCUGAAGUUGUAUUUAUUUCUAAUAGAAAACAUAUAGUUUACAGAAUAAUAUUAAUUUUAUUGAAGAUCUCUUAAGCAAUUUUGUUUCUGAUAGGCAGAACAGACUUGAUGCAUGAUACAUGCACUUGUAUGUUUAACACGAUCAUUUAGGGUUUAGGGAAAACAUAUAGUUUACAGAAUAAUACCCAUUUUAUUGAAGAUCUCUUAAGCAAUUUUGUUUCUGAUAGGCAGAACAGACUUGAUGCAUGAUACAUGCACUUGUAUGUUUAACACUAUCAUCUAGUUUUCUUUCUGUUUUUAUGUUGAGAAUCUAUACUGUUGCUAUGAAUUUCUUCAGCAGUUAGCACAAAAUUGUUUACCUCUUUUACAUAUUGUUUUUCAUGUCAAAC